rnacentral:rRNA from 1 species
CGUGUCGUGAGAUGUUGGGUUAAGUCCCGCAACGAGCGCAACCCUUGUCCCUAGUUGCUACGCAAGAGCACUCUAGGGAGACUGCCGGUGACAAACCGGAGGAAGGUGGGGAUGACGUCAAGUCCUCAUGGCCCUUAUGGGUAGGGCUUCACACGUCAUACAAUGGUCGGAACAGAGGGUCGCCAACCCGUGAGGGGGAGCCAAUCCCAGAAAACCGAUCGUAGUCCGGAUCGCACUCUGCAACUCGAGUGCGUGAAGCUGGAAUCGCUAGUAAUCGCGGAUCAGCAUGCCGCGGUGAAUACGUUCCCGGGUCUUGUACACACCGCCCGUCACACCAUGGGAGUGGGUUUUACCAGAAGUGGCUAGUCUAACCGCAAGGAGGACGG